rnacentral:sRNA from 1 species
AGAUACUCAUCCUAUUCCUUAUGACAGCAUAUGACUUCAUAAACCUCAGGAUGAUGUAGAGCUGAUUGUCGGUGCCUAUGGUCCACGUUAUAGAUGAGUUAGUAUUCUGUCUUUUCAUCGCAAACCGGACACAACGUUGAGUGAGGCACCAUCCG